UUGAAAAUAAGGAAAAGAAAAAAAAAAAAAAAAGGAGGAAGAAAAAAAAAAAGAAAGUCAUAAGAAACGUGGAAAAAAAAUAUAAUACAGAGUUGGAGGUGAAUCCAAACACUCAGGUAAUUUGCCUUGAGGAGCAAGAACCCUUGAGACCUAUGUAUAGACUUCGGAAAAAAAGAAUCUGUGAACAAUAGUAAAGGCCAUGAACGUGCCGUCCUCUGACAGGCCUGGAUUACCAACUUUCCUCAGAGCUUGAAGGAACAGGACACUUCUGAAGUCUCAAGGCAAUGUAAUUAAUCAGCUAUAUGGAGAGAUAGAGUCCAGUUAAACGAUCAGCCACUACUGGCGAUCUGCAGUGGAGCCAUGCUGAUCCCGCAGUAUGUGAGGCAGAACUCCCUGUAUGAGCCAUUAAAAGAAGUCAGAUCCUGCUGAGGAGGAGAGGUUGUGUCCUGACUUGAAAAUUAAAGGUCAAAAAGUCCCACAGCAUAUCUGUGCUUUACACCAAGAGGAAAAUGAACUGCAUGGACAGAGGAUGUUGUCUUGGGUCACCAUCAAGAACAUGACCUGCCUAACUGAUGUGACACAGGGAAAGAGAUUGUGCUCCUGGCAUCUCAGAAUUAAGGAAGAGAAACAGCUUCCAGGAUAAUGUAAAAGGAUUCUGCCCCAACUGGUGCAGGCAGAGAAAUUUCGUAAAAAUUGAAAACCCAAGGAGCACACCCCAGAGCCUAAAAGCCCCACCUUUAGGAACUCCUUUAAUCCCACGGCUUUGGAGAGGACUUGGUGGCUCAUGAAGAUCCCACCUCAGGGCCAAAAGAAAUCUAGGCUGGAGGAGGUGUUACAGCGAUGGCAAAAUGCUCUGCAGGACAGUCACAUACCCAGCUAGAGAGGACUGCAAGAAGAGCAGACCAUCCCCAAGUGUUCCUAUCCAUGGUAUGCUCUGUAGAUCUCCUGGGAUCUAUUAUUUCCUGGUUAAACAAGUACCUCCAUUGUUUUAAGCAGCUCAGCUUGUUUUUAAGCUGGUCCCUCACAAACUCGGCCCAAGUUCACCUGAACAAUCCUGGUUUUUAGCCUGUAGGGGCAAAGCAGCUUAAGAUUUACUGGAUAGCGAUGGCGAGCCUAAUGUAAUAAAAGUCUGACCCUUCUGAUGUGUAUGGGCUACUGUAUUAUAAAUAUUUAAUAAGUUAUAUGGAAAGAAAAGAACUAUAGGGGUUACAGAAAUCAUAUUAAAGCAACUAAGUAAAUACAAAGAAGGUUAAAGUGUCUAACUCUAUAUGGUUUAAAGGCUAAAGCAAACCAGAUCUCUUUCUAGAUACUUUUUCCAUGUACAGCAGUAACUGGGCUGCAUAAAAAUAAGGCAAGUAUUUAAAGACAGGAAAAAAAAAAAAAAAAAAAA